ensembl:lncRNA
AAGGUUUUCACACACUGUUGCUGGUAUUUUGGCCCAUUCCUCCAUGCAGAUCUCCUCUAGAGCAGUGAUGUUUUGGGGCUGUUGCUGGGCAACACGGACUUUCAACUCCCUCCAAAGAUUUUCUAUGGGGUUGAGAUCUGGAGACUGGCUAGGCCACUCCAGGACCUUGACAUGCUUCUUACGAAGCCACUCCUUCGUUGCCCGGGCGGUCUGUCAUAGUUGAAGUGUACCUAUGAUGAAAAUUACAGGCCUCUCUCAUCAUUUAUGUGGGAGAACUUGCACAAUUGGUGGCUGAGUAAAUACUUUUUUGCCCCACUGUAUGUCUCUAUGUUUUAUUCUUAGGGGAUUGUUUUACUUCAUGCAGGUCCUUGAGGGAGAUGGAGGGAUAAAUAACUUUGUGUGGUGAUAUGUUACAGGUCCUUGAGGGAGAUGGAGGGAUAAAUAACGUUGUGUGGUGAUAUGUUACAGGUCCUUGAGGGAGAUGGAGGGAUAAAUAACGUUGUGUGGUGAUCUGUUACAGGUCCUUGAUGGAGGGAUAAAUAACUUUGUGUGGUGAUAUGUUACAGGUCCUUGAAGGAGAUGGAGGGAUAAAUAACGUUGUGUGGUGAUAUGUUGCAGGUCCUUGAGGGAGAUGGAGGGAUAAAUAACGUUGUGUGGUGAUAUGUUACAGGUCCUUGAGGGAGACGGAGGGAUAAAUAACGUUGUGUGGUGAUAUGUUACAGGUCCUUGAGGGAGAUGGAGGGAUAAAUAACUUUGUGUGGUGAUAUGUUACAGGUCCUUGAGGGAGAUGGAGGGAUAAAUAACUUUGUGUGGUGAUAUGUUACAGGUCCUUGAGGGAGAUGGAGGGAUAAAUAACUUUGUGUGGUGAUAUGUUACAGGUCCUUGAGGGAGAUGGAGGGAUAAAUAACUUUGUGUGGUGAUAUGUUACAGGUCCUUGAGGGAGAUGGAGGGAUAAG